rnacentral:lncRNA from 1 species
UGCUUUCCCUGGCCCAUCAAGCCUUCUCCCGUGCUGGCCCAGUUGGACUUCCCUGGCGAUAGAGCCCACCGGCGAGCGCUCCUUCUUCCUCCCGACGUCACCUCCUGUACGACGCGCGCUCAACCUCCCGAUCGCCCUCUUCUCGAUCCAGCGGCUCGAGCUCGCCUCCCGAGGCGUUAAAAGGAGCCCGAGACCUCCUCCUCCGCCCUAGGGUUCCCUCUCCUUUCCUCCCCAGCGCCGCCAGUUUCCCUCGUGCCCUCGUUCUUCCCUGGUAAGUUCUGAGAGAAAGCAGAGAGAGAGGGU